rnacentral:rRNA from 1 species
AUUGAACGCUGGCGGCAGGCUUAACACAUGCAAGUCGAACGAGUGGCGGACGGGUGAGUAAUGCUUGGGAAUCUAGCUUAUGGAGGGGGAUAACUACGGGAAACUGUAGCUAAUACCGCGUACCAUAGGAUGAGCCCAUGUGGGAUUAGGUAGUUGGUGAGGUAACGGCUCACCAAGCCGACGAUCUCUAGCUGGUGUGAGAGGAUGACCAGCCACACUGGGACUGUGACAAGGCCCAGACUCCUACGGGAGGCAGCAGUGGGGAAUAUUUGGCAAUGGGGGCAACCUGACGCAGCCAUGCCGCGUGAAUGAAGAAGGCCUUCGGGUUGUAAAGUUCUUUCGGUAGCGAGGCGUUAACUACAGAAGAAGCACCGGCUAACUCCGUGCCAGCAGCCGCGGUAAUUC